UCCCAGCAGUCCGAGUAGCAGCCACACUUAUUAGGUCUAAAACAUUCGUAGCUGGUGCGACAAGUUUCUUGUGAAAUGGUGUAGCUUAACUGCACCGCGUGCAAGAAAUACUAUCGUGCUAGAGACUGGAAGACGUAAAGAGUACAUUUGAGGUAGCGGUAAAAUGUUUUAAUCUCAGAUGGACUAACAAUGGCGAAGGCACUUUACGAGGACAGUUCUGACAGUGAGGAAUGAAGGCCAGGGGC
rnacentral:rRNA from 1 species